UAGGGAAUCUUCCACAAUGGACGCAAGUCUGAUGGAGCAACGCCGCGUGAGUGAAGAAGGUUUUCGGACCGUAAAGCUCUGUUGUUGGUGAAGAAGGAUAGAGGUAGUAACUGGCCUUUAUUUGACGGUAAUCAACCAGAAAGUCACGGCUAACUACGUGCCAGCAGCCGCGGUAAUACGUAGGUGGCAAGCGUUGUCCGGAUUUAUUGGGCGUAAAGCGAGCGCAGGCGGAAGAAUAAGUCUGAUGUGAAAGCCCUCGGCUUAACCGAGGAAUUGCAUCGGAAACUGUUUUCUUGAGUGCAGAAGAGGAGAGUAGAACUCCAUGUGUAGCGGUGGAAUGCGUAGAUAUAUGGAAGAAUACCAGUGGCGAAGGCGGCUCUCUGGUCUGCAACUGACGCUGAGGCUCGAAAGCAUGGUAGCGAACAGGAUUAGAUACCCUGGUAGUCCAUGCCGUAAACGAUGAGUGC
rnacentral:rRNA from 1 species